rnacentral:tRNA from 1 species
ACAUUCGUAGCUUAUACGACUAAAGCAUUACUUUGAAGAAGUGACAAAGGGCAGUUGCCCCGAGUGUG